UACGGAGGGUGCAAGCGUUAAUCGGAAUUACUGGGCGUAAAGCGCACGCAGGCGGUUUGUUAAGUCAGAUGGGAAAUCCCCGAGCUUAACUUGGGAACUGCAUUUGAAACUGGCAAGCUAGAGUCUUGUAGAGGGGGGUAGAAUUCCAGGUGUAGCGGUGAAAUGCGUAGAGAUCUGGAGGAAUACCGGUGGCGAAGGCGGCCCCCUGGACAAAGACUGACGCUCAGGUGCGAAAGCGUGGGGAGCAAACAGG
rnacentral:rRNA from 1 species